GAGCUAAGUUGGUUACAAAUUGCUUAUAUCAAAUUUGUGAAUUCUAUAGGUUAUAUUAGCCUCUUUGGAGCAAGGGGUUCGGGAGGAAAUAUAACCGUCUGUUUUGGUUCAUAUUUAGUUUCCCCUCAACGUCGACAGCACCAAUUGCUGGGUAUAGGUAUAUGGUAUUCAAUUUUGAUUUGCUUAUAACUUGCUCAUCUUUCUUGCUUGCUUUUGCAUCGGGUUGUUUAUACCGUUUAAUUUUACAUGCUCAGCCUAAUUUUGAUACAUGUUAAAUUACUUCUCAUCUAUUUUAUUAAGUAAGUUGUUUCAUGUAUGUACUGUAUGAUUUCACAUACUCAACCUAAUUUUGAUAUAAAGCUAUCUUUUCAUCAGGUUUACUAAUUUGAGGUUCUUUCCAUGUGUGUAGCUAAUCCGUUUGUGCUCUGUGUGAUCGGAUGUGACUAUUACUGUUCCAUUUUUACUAUGAAUCUUAUUUCAUAUAGAAAAAUUGAUCAUUCUUAUAACUAAAGUUUUUGACAAUGUCCAUUACUUUUUAAUGAAUUUCAAGUUGGGUAGUUGUGCUGCCGAUUUAUAGAUAUAGAAACAAUUAUUUAUAGGAGUGAAAAUGCGAUUGGUUUAUUUCUGCUACGACAAUUGAUUUAAUGAUUACUAAUUUUCAUUUCAGUUAUUCCACUACCAGUUGCUGCAGUAGAAAAGGAGGAGCUGUUGAAUUUUGGGCUUCAGGCACAUAUUGUGAAAAAAAAAAGGUGAGGGUUGAUGAUUAGGCUCGGUUGCUUUUCCGACUUUCAUGUUGCUACCAUUUGCUUAUCUUAAAUCAAAAUAUGUAUAUUGUCGUCUUUUUCAGAUUAUGUUUUGUGCUUUCAGUAAUGACACAUCCUGCAAUUUCAUUAAAGCUAGCAAAUUCAUAAAAUAUAUAACAAAAUCUAUUUCUGAUGAAAGCUUGCGAUUUCAUGUUUUCGAUAACUGUAAAAGACGAACAAGGUUUUUUGAAUUUGGUUGCUCAUACAUGAAAGCAAAUCAGUCAGACUAUGUAACAACAAAUCACUUUGUGAUUUACAGUCUAUUAGGACUUCCUUAUUUUGGAUACUUUUUCUGUUGUUUACCAAAUUGUUCUGUUGUUUCCCAUCUGUAGUUGUUAAAGUUCUGAGUCAUUGUUCACAUGUAGCGUAAAUUUCAGCUAUGCCGCCUAAAUUCAGAACUUCCAAGAGGAAAGAGUUUUUCCGAACACCGGAAAAUUUGCAACAACUUUCAGGUCAUGAGACAGCAGCACCUUUGCACUGUAAUGAAAACGAG
rnacentral:lncRNA from 1 species